AGAGUUUGAUCCUGGCUCAGAAUGAACGUUGGCGGCGUGGAUUAGGCAUGCAAGUCGAACGAGUCUCUGGGGGGUAACUCCUAGAGGAAAGUGGCGAAAGGGGCAGUAAUGUAUGGGUAACCUACCUUGAGGUCCGGGAUAGCCAUUCUAACGGAUGGGUAAUACUGGACGGCCUGAGUUGUCGGCAUCGAUAAUUUAGUAAAGGUUACGCCUCGAGAGGGGCCCAUAUGAUAUUAGCUAGUUGGUGAGGUAAUGGCUCACCAAGGCAAAGAUGUCUAGCGGGUGUGAGAGCACGACCCGCGUCAUUGGCACUGAGACACUGGCCAAACUCCUACGGGAGGCUGCAGUCGAGGAUCUUCGGCAAUGGACGAAAGUCUGACCGAGCAACGCCGCGUGUGCGAUGAAGGCCUUCGGGUUGUAAAGCACUGUCGAGGGGAAACAAGCCGUAAGGUUGAGUGACCCCUGGAGGAAGCACGGGCUAAGUUCGUGCCAGCAGCCGCGGUAAGACGAACCGUGCAAACGUUAUUCGGAAUCACUGGGCUUAAAGGGCGCGUAGGCGGGUGAUCAAGUCAAUGGUGAAAUCCUCCAGCUUAACUGGAGAAGUGCCUUUGAUACUGAUUGUCUAGAGGGAGGUAGGGGCAUGUGGAACUUCAGGUGGAGCGGUGAAAUGCGUAGAUAUCUGAAGGAACGCCAGUGGCGAAAGCGAUGUGCUGGACCUCUUCUGACGCUGAGGCGCGAAAGCUAGGGGAUCAAACGGGAUUAGAUACCCCGGUAGUCCUAGCCCUAAACUAUGGGUACUAGAUUGUGGACUUUCAUGGGUUCACAGUCGAAGCAAAAGUGUUAAGUACCCCGCCUGGGGAGUAUGGUCGCAAGGCUGAACUCAAAGGAAUUGACGGGGGCUCACACAAGCGGUGGAGCAUGU
rnacentral:rRNA from 1 species